rnacentral:lncRNA from 1 species
AUGGAGUCCCGGAACUACAACUACGACCCCGCGUACCCCUCUUACGCGCAGCCCGUGAACCCAAGCGGCUCCGGCGAAGAAGCGUACCACCCGUUCGCGACCAUCACCCGCGAAUCCGGGUGGUACCAGGACCCAACCUACCCCACGCUAACGACCGCCAAGACACCCCGCCUCCGCAGUUCCCGGUACCACCCCACCGCUGGCGCCUGCCGCUCUGGUACCGCGCCCGCCUCCGCGGCUACCCCAAAGACGAGCCAUUCUACGACUACCUCGAGGACGAGGAACUCCAGCGCUGGUCCCAGCCCACCGCCCCGCCUCCAGCGUGAGCCCAAUCCGCCCCGAGUUCCACCGGUACCACGGGGCGGAGGAGGCUACGACUACAGCCCCUCCUACGACUUCGCGCACGUUCACGAACACGGCGGCCACACUGAGACCACGAGCAAGUUCGACUUCUCGAAGAUCGGGCUUCUCCUCUUGUUGAAACUAGCCAUCGCGAAGCUCAAAGCCCUCGGUGCGCUCCAGAUCCUGUUGCUCCUUCUUCUCAAGGCCAAGCUCCUCUUGGCGAUGAUGGCCCUGAAGUUCUUCAUGGUCCUCAAGGCGAUGAAGCUGCUCAAGUACCUGAUCGCGCCGCUGCUGCUUUCGUCGUUGUUGCCGCUCCUCAUGAUGAUUCCGAUGAGUUUGUUGUCGGCGCUGCUGCCGCUUCUCAUGAACCUCACCCCGAUGCAGCCGGAUGAUCCGGACCCGCCGGAAGACCUACCGGAUCCCCCGGACGAGCCGGAAGAAAUGCCGGAGACGCCGGAAUCUGGUGGGAGGCGCAAGAGACGGAAGCAUCAUAGAAGUCGCGCCUUAGGCGAGAUUCAAAGGCUUCUGCGGUCUGAGGAUUGCCUCCAGAGGAUGGCCUGCGAGCUGGCUGCCAAGAAACAGUUGGCCAUCGUACCACUCAUCGUUGCUUGGAGUUUGAAGAAGCUUGCCAACAUGUUGCCAAUCCCCAUUGUGAAAGAGUACGCAAAAGCUUACACUAAUGGCCGUCAGAUGAACCCGUCUUCGUCAGGAUGUUCAUCUGAAUAUAGAUGCAAUUACCUCAAGAAACGAAGUUGAAUAGAGACAUACAUGAACCAUGUUUUCCUAUGAGAAAAUAAAUUAUUUACGAGUGUGCAAAAUUAAUAAGUUCUCGAAAGGGUAGAGUAUUAUCAUACGGCAGAAUUGAAGUGACAUUUGUGUCAAAAUGUUAGUAUUAAUAUCAGGUUUAUAAAAUACUUUAUGCAUGUGAAUUCCUGCAUGGUUGCGAUGGAAUCACCAAUUUUGCUGAAUGAUUAAGGCAUACAACUUUACUAAAGAAUCUAAGUAUCACUCUGUUUGCUGAAGAAGACUGUCCGAUUCUUAUGCAGAAUUAUGAUUCUGAGGCAGAAUUUAUAGUCAUUUUGUGAUCCGAACAUGGUAAACGUAGUCACCAUAAUUAUUUUAUUUUUUUCUCUCUCUUAUUAAUUGAUUGUAGCUCAUAGUCCUGGACUGGAGGGAAUAGGAAUUUGCCAUUGAGACAAGUUUAAGAUACACUAAUGUGCGGUUAUUUUUAACACAUUUACGGCCAAAAUCCCUUCAGCAAUUAAUGGAUGGCUUUCCGUCUAAGAUGUAAAUUUAUAUCAUACCGAAAUGUGCGUUUGAGCUAUUCUCGUGGACUUAAUGAAGGUUCUUGUGAUGCAAUUGUAGUUGCUUUUUACUUCUUCUUUGGAGUGAGGAUUUAAAUUUACAUUAAAUUGUAGAUUUGUAAAGAUUUCCUCAGAUUAAAUAUCGAAUUUCCCUAUUGCAUUACGUGUCACACCAUUAUGAUGUUUUGCACACACCAAACGAAUUUGAGUUAAUGCUCCGAUGCACACCUUCACUAAAUAUUCCGGUUCCACUGAUGUACAAAUAGUGUGCGCUUCCACAUAGCUCCUACACAUUGUAAUAUAGAAAAUAAUACAUUUUUUACAGAUAUGCCUCGAAUCGUCACUAAGUGCAGUUUCAUUGAUCUUGAGAAAACAUGUUAAUAAUAGUAUAAUAACGUUGCACAAAAAAGGAUAUUUAUCUUUAACGAAUGUAAAAAGUAAAAUUUGGUAGAAAAAAUGUUAGAAAUAAAAAAUGUGUGUUUCCGUCGGUAUUAUUUGAGAAAAUAAAGGUAAGGUGACAAAACAUACCAAAAUGAAGCCUUGAAUUACAUAGUGUAAGUCAGCCACAAACUAAACCAGCGUACCAAAUUGAAGUAAUCAGGACCUUUUAGAAAACUGAGGAUAGCUCUUUUCAUUGAUUGUAUGCUUCCUAAUCUAUUCGAGAGGUAUGGGAAACACAUACGUACUUGGGGCAGUCAUAGUAAUUGGAAACUUUCGUUGAUGAACCUGAAAAGAACGAAAUUGAACCAAUGACAAUUUCACAGUUACUGUUUAAUUAAAAAAUCCUGAUGUUUUUUCUAACUUUGUUUUAAUAAAACGGGUCUUCUAAAUGGAACACUGUAUAAUAAAUAUUUCCGUGUGUAAUUCCUCAUUAUAAAACUAUCCUCUGUCAAAUACUUGCGUGAGAGAAAUGACUUAAGUUUCGUCACAAAAAAGACGCACUAUUCUGUGAAAUAAGGAAAAUGAAUGGACUGUAGCUUGAAAUAUAAUAAAUCUCGUUUAAUUUAUAUCUCUGCCGAUGCAAGGAACGUUACUGAAAUAAUAAAUUCCUGUAGAUUCAUUUAUGAAACUUUGCGACUCACUUGUCAAAGAAAAUGCUCGAAAAAACUUAUCUCUUAAAUAUAUGAGAAUUUAUUGUCGAUCGAAUUUCAGCUUCUGCCCUAUCGCGUCCGGAAUGCAACUAUUCGUGUUCGUGGUCUGCGCGUGUUGCAUACACAAAAAAUGAAGGCACCCUGACAUCGUCAGGCGUACAGCACAGCGUGAAGAUUUUCUCAGCUUAUUUUUAUUUUAUACUAACGCCGAGAUAAAUGAAGAUUUUAGAUAACUUCCAUAGUUUUUUUCGACUAAAAUAAUGUAAUGGCAGGCAAGAGACAAUAUUUACAGAUCAUGGCUGACGGAAAUCGAGAUAACUGGUUUGAUAGAUUCACCACCGAUCUAUAUCCAUAGAGUCGAUGCUUUUGAAGGACCUUCGAGGGCUGUAGUUCUUACUUUGUCUCCGGUUUAUUUCAAGACACUUAAAAUGCAACCAACCGCUCUUGUUAUUUUUAUCAAUUGUACUAAGUUUAAGUCAAAUCGAUGAAAGUGUUUCAAUGCAUGGUCUAAUUCUUAGGAAUGUAUAGUUAAGUAAUUAAUUGUUCCAGUUAUGUUGAGAAUAAAAUGUCUUUAUUUCAAAUGAACAAGUAUCUGUGUGUUAUUGAAAUAGAUUUAUCAUGCUAACGUACAUCUGAUGAGCAUUGCAAAUACCUUUAAAUAGUAUCUACACUUUUCUCGAACCUUGAACACCUCAAAACUUCAGAAAAGUGUGGUUUACCCAACCUGUUACGGUA